rnacentral:snRNA from 1 species
CGAUAGCCCCAAAUGUGGGCUACUCGGGUACGCAAUUUAUACGUGUGGGGGUCUGCGUUCGCGCUAACCCCUG